rnacentral:lncRNA from 1 species
CCUGUCUCUACUAAAAAUACAAAAAUUAGGUGUGCUGGCACAUGCCUGCCCAGCUACUUGGGAGGCUGAGGCGGGACAAUCGCUUGAACCCAGGAGGUGGAGGUUGCAGUAAGCUGAAAUGGUGCCAUUGCACUCCAGCCUGGGUGACUCCAUCUCAAAAAAAAAAAAAAAGGGCCGGGCGCGGUGGCUCAGCACUUUGGGGAGGCCGAGGCAGGUGGAUCAUGAGGUCGGGAGUUCGAGACCAGCCUAGCCAACAUGGUGAAACCCUAUCUCUACUAAACAUACAAAAAUUAGCUAGGUGUGGUGGCUGCAAUCCCAACUACUUGGGAGACUGAGGCUGAAGAAUUGCUUGAAACUGGAAGGUGGAGGUUGCAGUGAGCUGAGAUGGAGCUACUGCAUUCCAGCCUGAGCAACAAGAGUGAAACUCUGUCUCAAAAAUAUAAAUAAAUAAAAAUAAUAAAAAAAGGAAGCUUCUGGGCAGCUGAAAGUUGGCACAGCCCUCAGGUAUACAUAAAGCCAACUCAGGAGCUUCCAGUUAAGAGUAUUUCAGAGUUCCUCCCCUCACCUAAGGUGCACAACAUUCCCUGCUCACUGAGUUGACCCCCAACUUAUCCUAGGCCUCUCAAAAUACUCCACACCACCUGGCCACAAUGAUUGGAACAGGAUGGGUCCAUGAACCAAGUGGGGCCAGCUGGAUUCCUUCUCCGGGAUUUGUCUAACUGGAGCAGCAGUGGAAGCACUCCUUGUGGUCUACAGGCCAGGGUUUCCUGUGCCUUUGCUCCCCAAGGUCAGCCAGUCUGAUAAUGAUACCAGUGUUCAGAAAGCCACAAAGGGCUGGGCACAGUGGAGCAUGCCUGUAAUCCCAGCACUUUGGGAAGCAGGGAUGGGCAGAUCACUUGAGCCCAGGAGUUUGAGGCUAGCCUGGGCAAUAUGGUGAAACCUCAUUUCUAUUAAAAGUACAAAACAUUAGCUGGGCAUGAUGGCGCGUGCCUGUAAUCCUAGCAACCUGGGAGGCAGAGGUGGGAGGAUUGCUUGAACCCAGAAGGUUGAGGCUACAGUGAGCUAUGAUCAUGCCACUGCCCUCCGGCCUGAGCAAAGGAGUGAGACCAUGUUUCAAAAAAAAAAAAAAAAAA